UACUAGGUGGACUCUAGCGAGACUGCCGGUAAUAAACCGGAGGAAGGUGGGGAUGACGUCAAAUCAUCAUGCCCCUUAUGACCUGGGCUACACACGUGCUACAAUGGUUGGUACAACGAGUUGCGAGUCGGUGACGGCGAGCUAAUCUCUUAAAGCCAAUCUCAGUUCGGAUUGUAGGCUGCAACUCGCCUACAUGAAGUCGGAAUCGCUAGUAAUCGCGGAUCAGCACGCCGCGGUGAAUACGUUCCCGGGCCUU
rnacentral:rRNA from 1 species